UACGGAGGGUGCAAGCGUUAUCCGGAUUCACUGGGUUUAAAGGGUGCGUAGGUGGGCAGUUAAGUCAGUGGUGAAAUCUCCGGGCUUAACCCGGAAACUGCCGUUGAUACUAUUUGUCUUGAAUAUUGUGGAGGUAAGCGGAAUAUGUCAUGUAGCGGUGAAAUGCUUAGAUAUGACAUAGAGCACCAAUUGCGAAGGCAGCUUACUACACAAUGAUUGACGCUGAGGCACGAAAGCGUGGGGAUCAAACAGG
rnacentral:rRNA from 1 species